GCAUGCCAGACAAGUGCUCUACCACUGAGCUACAUCCCCAGCCCAAUUUCAAUAUGCAUUAAUUAUACAUUUGCAAAAAGAAGUAAUUGUUUUCUUAGGUUAUGUUGUCUUUAAGCUCCAUUCCCAUGACUUUUUUCUCUUGAAGUUACUACGUAGAUUUACAUAUGUACAGUUUAAUUCAUGUAAAACUUAAUUAUAUAAUUGAUUUAUUUUAGCUCUUCCAUUUAUAUUUAAUUCAUUCAUAAUCCAUUGCAGCUGUUUUGAUUAUUAUAUAAUUAAUUCAUUAUAAGAACAAUUUUUAAAGACUACCUAUUUUGUCUUGAUAAUUUUACUAUGCAAAUGAUAUUUACUUACUUAAUUCAGCUGGGAAAAAAAUGUAUUGCUAGAACAGAAGCACCAAAUAGCAGAUGGUUGGCAGUACUCAAUGUCUACAAUCCUAAUCGUGUCUGGAUCGUGGUGUAAUGUUUUCUCAGCAGUAUCUACUGGACCUGGCCAUAGACGUGGACAAUGUGAUAUGCCACUAUCACUGUAGCCUCUUGUCUGCCCAGCUCCAAAUCUGACAUAUGUUUUUGAGUCUCCCAGGCCCUACUGAUGCCCCCACUGAACUGACUUUCUGUCUGAACAUUGACUGGAGUCUGUGGGUGAGGUUGAGGAGGGAGAGUCUCAUGCAGAUUUUCUUGUGGUGACUGGAGGUUGCGUGUCUUUGGAAAUUGUGUUUUAUCAAUUCAAACACAUUGAAAAGAAAUACUUAUUUAGUGGUACUGACUUAAAUUGUAAUUUAAGUACAUGCUAGAAUUUUCCUUUACUAAAGGUCAGUUUCCUAUAAUAUCUGAAUCAAUUGCAGUGCUGUAAUUUGCUAGUACUUUUUCUUUUGAUGGAAUUGGAAGACUGAGCUAAUGGGACCAGAGAGUGUGCAGAAUUGGUACUUAAUUAUGAAAUAAUGGAAAACAGUCUACAUCAUGAAAUUACCUCAUAAACAGAGUGAUCAGAACUGAGAGGAUUUAGUAAUUAAUGAUUACAUCAAUUAAAUUAACUCAUUGUAUCUCAACCUCACACAAAUGAUGUGAGAAAGUAUAAUAUCUUAACUAUGUAAACAAUUAAUAAAAUAUGGAAGACUUUAUAAGUUCACAGAAUUGAAGCCCACACAGAUAUAGAAUUAAUUACUUUUGUGCACAUUAGGUGUUUGGGAAACUAAGCAUUAAUUUCCUGGCUUUGACUCAUAUCAAGACCACCCUGUAGGAAAAUUUAAUUCCUCAAUGAAUAUCUAUCUACUGUUUAGCUAAAUGUGUGGUAUCUAACCCACUAAAACAAAAUAUGUAAAUAAACAUUUACUUAUGGUUUAAUGAAAACAUGCUUUAUUUCUAGAUGUUUUUAAUUUAAGAUUACCAGUAAAAUAUUAAGACUUGUUUAUUCAAAACAGAUUACCUUAAUCAAGAUACAGAAUGAAUCCUCAAAGAUACUAAGCUAUAUGCAACUUGG
rnacentral:lncRNA from 1 species